UCCAACAUGUUCUGUUGGUCAAAGAAGUCAGAAGCCCAGCCAAAUCAAGACGAGAAGUAAAGCUAUCUCUCCCACUGUAUUUAUGGUGACUUUUGCACUGCAGCUAUGAUGGCUGUUCCGUUUCUCUAGUACUCUUUUCCUCAUUGAUAUACUUUCAACAUACUUGCCACUGUGCCACUCUCUUCUCCUGGAAUGCUUUUGCUUCAGAUAUCCAACUGGCUCAUUUCUUCACCUCUUUGACGUAUUUGCUCAAAUGUCACUUUCCAAUGUGAGCUCCAUUAGGUCAUGGAGUCUUGCCUUUUUGUUCACUGAUCUAUCCAGAGCCUACAACAGUGCCAGCACAUGCAUCUGAAAGAAGAACCUGCUCAAUUCAAAAUAUAUAGAGGUUAAAUGAUAUAGCGACGUGGCUUCCUGAUGGCAAGGCGACUUCAGGGUAUUCACUUCUCAGAUGGCAGCUGGUUCACCCCAAAGCAAGCAUUCCAAGCAAGAGGAAAUGGGAGCCAUCAAUCCUCUUGGAACAGGCAGAGUGUCACUUCUUCUACCUUAUACUGGUUAAACAAUCACAGGGCCAACCCAGGUUCAAGGAGAGAGGAAAUGAACUCUGCCCAUCAAUGCAGAGAAUUGAGAAAGAAGUCACUGCCAUGAUUGCUUUUCCACAGACAAUUUAAUCUCUACCCCCAUUAAUGAAAUUUUCCCAGUUUGACAUAAUGUUUAAUUUGACAUUAAUAAAAUUAAAAGAAAAAAAGAAAAGCAGACACUACAUUA